CAGCUGAUCAUCAUUUAGCCUUCAUUAGUGUGUCUACUUAAAAGCCAACGAGACGGGGGCUUGUUUGCUGGUCGUUCAUUGUCUCUGGCAGUGAUGCCACUGGCGAGUAAAAACUUGGGUAGAAUUAAGGAAGAAACCUUGGGACGAGCAAGACUUGAGAACCCAUCCUCCUUGGGUGUAUUUCACACAAUCCAAGUGUUAAGGUGCGUACCCUCACAGGUGUGUGGCCACAAACAAGAGUGAACCCCACCUGCAUGCGGCAGGCCGUACCACGUGACUUGUGGGGUGGGGGAGCUCCCGUGACAGUCUGGAAGGAUGUCCCUCAUUCAAGCCAUGGAGGAAGCCUGUGACCCAACUGAUGCAGGAUCUGUGCAAGGAUGGACUUGCCAUUCAAGAAGAUUCUUCCCUCGCUGUCUUG